rnacentral:rRNA from 1 species
AUGGCUGUCGUCAGCUCGUGUCGUGAGAUGUUGGGUUAAGUCCCGCAACGAGCGUAACCCUUGUCGCUAGUUACCAUCGGGUAAUGCCGGGGACUCUAGUGAGACUGCCUGCGCAAGCAGUGAGGAAGGUGGGGAUGACGUCAAGUCAUCAUGGUCCUUACGCCUAGGGCUGCACACGUGCUACAAUGGCUGGUACAACGAGCUGCCACACUGCGAGGUGGAGCGAAUCUCUGAAAACCAGUCCCAGUUCGGAUUGGAGUCUGCAACUCGACUCCAUGAAGCAGGAAUCGCUAGUAAUCGCGGAUCAGCAAUGCCGCGGUGAAUUCGUUCCCGGGCCUUGUACACACCGCCCGU